GACGCUGGAGCCAGACGGCAAGGCAAUCGGCUGCAACCCGAUCGAAGUGGGUUCGACUCCCAUCGGCGUCUC
rnacentral:tRNA from 1 species